rnacentral:ribozyme from 18 species
AUUCGCCGAUCGACAGGUUGAAACAAAACAAAAAAACUUUAAAACCUUGUACUAAUUAUAAUUAAAAACAAAUUGUGGCCCCGAUUGUUCUCCGCUCGUCUUUUUCAUUUUCUAUAAAAGUUUUUUCUUCUUCUUCUUCUUU